rnacentral:rRNA from 1 species
GACGAACGCUGGCGGCGCGCUUAAUACAUGCAAGUCGAGCGAGAACCGGGGCUUCGGCUCCGGGGACAGCGGCGAACGGGUGAGUAACACGUGGGUAACCUGCCCUCGGCACCGGGAUAGCCCGGGGAAACCCGGAUUAAUACCGGAUGGCCCUUUCGGUUUUCGGACCGGUCGGCAAAGGUAGCUUCGGCCUCCGGCCGAGGAUGGGCCCGCGGCGGAUUAGCUUGUUGGUGAGGUAACGGCUCACCAAGGCUCCGAUCCGUAGCUGGUCUGAGAGGACGAUCAGCCACACUGGGACUGAGACACGGCCCAGACUCCUACGGGAGGCAGCAGUAGGGAAUCUUGCGCAAUGGGCGAAAGCCUGACGCAGCGACGCCGCGUGCGGGAAGACGGCCCUCGGGUUGUAAACCGCUUUCAGGAGGGACGAAGCCACUCGGGUGAAUAGCCCAGAGGGUGACGGUACCUCCAGAAGAAGCCCCGGCUAACUACGUGCCAGCAGCCGCAGUAAUAC